AACGAACGCUGGCGGCAUGCCUAACACAUGCAAGUCGAACGAGACCUUCGGGUCUAGUGGCGCACGGGUGCGUAACGCGUGGGAAUCUGCCCUUGGGUUCGGCAUAACAGUUGGAAACGACUGCUAAUACCGGAUGAUGACGUAAGUCCAAAGAUUUAUCGCCCAAGGAUGAGCCCGCGUAGGAUUAGCUAGUUGGUGAGGUAAAGGCUCACCAAGGCGACGAUCCUUAGCUGGUCUGAGAGGAUGAUCAGCCACACUGGGACUGAGACACGGCCCAGACUCCUACGGGAGGCAGCAGUGGGGAAUAUUGGACAAUGGGCGAAAGCCUGAUCCAGCAAUGCCGCGUGAGUGAUGAAGGCCUUAGGGUUGUAAAGCUCUUUUACCCGGGAUGAUAAUGACAGUACCGGGAGAAUAAGCGCCGGCUAACUCCGUG
rnacentral:rRNA from 1 species